rnacentral:misc_RNA from 1 species
CGAUGAAAAACCUUUUUUCUGAGGUGUGGCUCGCACCUGUCCAACUAAACUUGAGCUACCUUUUUUAUACACGGUUGCAUCGGUCGGCCUGUCCAACAGUGCGCGCGCGAAAUUCAUUUUCCGCUACACUGAGCAGACGGGACGGCACUUUACACAAACACUUUUGAUAAUCUAGGAUUUGAAUGAAAGUUCAUUUUUUAUGAUGGAUCCGACUGGUAAUGCGGUCGUCUAAAUCUAAAAAA